rnacentral:rRNA from 1 species
UACAGAGGAGCCAAGCAUUGUCCGGAUUGACUGGGCGUAAAGCGCACGCAGGCGGUUGCGCGCGUGGGGUGUGAAAUCUGGCCGCUUAACGGCCAGGCGCCAUCCCAUACGGCGCGACUGGAGUGAUGCAGAGGUCGAUGGAAUUGCCGGUGUAGUGGUGAAAUGCGUAGAGAUCGGCAGGAACACCCAGGGGGAAACCAGUCGACUGGGCAUCUACUGACGCUGAGGUGCGAGAGCGUGGGGAGCGAACCGG